rnacentral:rRNA from 1 species
AUUGAACGCUGGCGGCAGGCCUAACACAUGCAAGUCGAGCGGAUGACGGGAGCUUGCUCCUUGAUUCAGCGGCGGACGGGUGAGUAAUGCCUAGGAAUCUGCCUGGUAGUGGGGGACAACGUUUCGAAAGGAACGCUAAUACCGCAUACGUCCUACGGGAGAAAGCAGGGGACCUUCGGGCCUUGCGCUAUCAGAUGAGCCUAGGUCGGAUUAGCUAGUUGGUGGGGUAAUGGCUCACCAAGGCGACGAUCCGUAACUGGUCUGAGAGGAUGAUCAGUCACACUGGAACUGAGACACGGUCCAGACUCCUACGGGAGGCAGCAGUGGGGAAUAUUGGACAAUGGGCGAAAGCCUGAUCCAGCCAUGCCGCGUGUGUGAAGAAGGUCUUCGGAUUGUAAAGCACUUUAAGUUGGGAGGAAGGGCAGUAAGUUAAUACCUUGCUGUUUUGACGUUACCGACAGAAUAAGCACCGGCUAACUCUGUGCCAGCAGCCGCGGUAAUACAGAGGGUGCAAGCGUUAAUCGGAAUUACUGGGCGUAAAGCGCGCGUAGGUGGUUUGUUAAGUUGGAUGUGAAAGCCCCGGGCUCAACCUGGGAACUGCAUCCAAAACUGGCAAGCUAGAGUACGGUAGAGGGUGGUGGAAUUUCCUGUGUAGCGGUGAAAUGCGUAGAUAUAGGAAGGAACACCAGUGGCGAAGGCGACCACCUGGACU